rnacentral:lncRNA from 1 species
GCAAUCCAAAUAUCCAAAAUAUCAAGAAUUCAAGGUAGAAAAAGAAAUGUUAAAGCACCACAUAAACUACCCAAAUCCAUAAAAUAGACAAAUUAUUAAGCAGAUCGAAGACUGUGACAAAUAAAGGUUGGCAUUGCUUCAACGGCGUAUUUCGAAGCAACGUCGGAAAAUGUGAGUAUGGCCAAUUAAUGGCCAGUUCUUGAUGAGCAAAAUCGAAAGGGGAAGAAAAAGGGGGUGGCUGUCGCGAUGUGGCUGAUGGCGGCAGAUCUGGGCUUGGGAGGUGGCGCAUGGCUGUUUCUCAGCUGGAUCUCGCCGGUCACAAUUCCGGCGAGCCAGCAAUGAUGAAGAUCAAGUUGGCUGUAGUGGUUUGUAGUGGUUUCUUUGGUUUUUCCGGUGGCUGACAACGGAGAGGGGAGGCGUAGAGUUGUUGGUCUUGUGGUAAAGGGGAAGAUGAAGAAGGUUUGAUGGUUGGAACCUCACCAAAAAUGGUUACUACGAUGGG